AUAACUCACUCAAUACAACAUGGUUUUAGGUGGUUGAGCUAAAGGUUUUCAACAAGUUCAUCUGAUAUGUUUUUCCGCUACAAUCAUCAUUAGUUGAUAGCAAUGUUAUUGCAGUAAGAUAAUGUUUUUGUCUAGGCAUAUGUGCAAUUUUUUUUUCCGGAAGUAUCCCUAAAUGAAAGCUAUUUUGCAACAACUAAGUGGAAUAUUUGAACACGAAUAUCUUUACAUUUUAGGCGUAAAUGAACAUCUUUACUUACCAAUAACAGUAGUGAAUUGAUUAUUUGGACUUAAAAUAAAGCAGCAAAUUGUUUAAAAAUGGUCUCACUAUUUACCUCUAUUUAUCAACCAGAACUUCUCUCAGUUCUGUACAUGUUCCUUCUAAUGUGUAAUCCUGAUGUGUUCUUCCUGUAGGUGCCUCCAUCGCUAUCAAUCUCACAUCGAGAUGUCCACGGCAAUUCCAUCAUACCCGGUGUGAAGAAAUAAGUAAGAUGGACUGACCUAGCCCAUUAAAGCACUGGCCCGUCUAUCCUAUUCUUCUCUUAUUAAAACCUGCCGUGUGUGCACAGUCGACAAAAUUUAUAGGGAUCCUCCUCGCACUGCCUCUCUCCCUCUUCCUCUUCCUUGCUGCACCCAUGGCAACAAGCCAGCAAAGCUCGAUUUCACGCUGGAGAAUCUCAACCCCUUGACGGAAUCGACCGAUUUCUCGUCCGAAUGGUCAUUCCUUAUCAGGGAGGUCAAAUCCUUGCCAGGGAGAUUGACGGAGAAUGCUGAUUUCUUACUGGUCGCCUUUUUGAGCACCUAGGGCCAGUGCGACAUUAUGCCAGCGUGCCAACGCCCAGCGUUUAAGCACACCUAGGCAAGCGCCUAACAACACUUUUUUAACUAUGGUAAGGAGUCUAUUGCUGGUUUUAACUUGGAAUAAUUAUUGUUAGGCAUAGCUUCACUUCCACAUUUGCCUGCAUAUUCUUAAGCUGGUAAAACAGAGCAAAACACGCACUACGGAAUGCAGGGAGAGCAUGGUUUAUUUUUCUCUUCGUUCGUUUAUUUGAUAGGCCACAUUGCAGGGAGAACAUGGGUUUAUUUUGCUCUUUCUACUUUUGAUAGGUAGGGCACAAUGUUUCUGUUUCAUUCAUGCCUUUGUUGCUGACGAUACUGUUGUGUAAAUUGAACAUUGAUGUUCAAUGUUAUCACAAGAUUUACACAAACUGGAUUUUUGAUCCCUUGGGAUGCUGCAGGUGCGGACAAUCUAAUACCAAAGGACUUGGCCCUCAAAAUUGCAACCAAGAUUAGAGCUGGCGAACGAUUUGCAGUUUAUGUAGUCAUACCAAUGUGUCCUGAAGGAAUCCCUACCUCAGCCUCUGAGCAAGAUUUUUUUCUUUUAGGCACAUUCGGGCAUGAUGGGAUUCCAGUCCACUCUUCUGGCAAGACCCUCCUGGUGAACGAGCGUGGCGUCCUCAUGGAGAGCCUGCAAAUGGGGGAAUUUUACUACCUAAUUCUUCGCUUCUUGUGCUGCAUCCAACAAGAUGAAUGAUUCUAAUGAACAAGUACUCAUAUCGAUCUAAUUAAUCAGCUCCAUAUCUAGCCGGUUAGAAGAAUGAGGGUUUCUGUAUAUGUAUGAAAGGAAACCAAGGAAGCUUGCAUUUCUGAUCAAGCUUCAAUGAGUGCUAGUGUUCUUGCUUUCCAUGUUGAUGUAUGUUACCUCUGGAUGAAUCGUCUUCCUGCUGAGAGUUUCCUCUUUCAGUGUUGGAGAUGUUGUAGCAGCUUACAAUUACUAGGAGAAAUAAGUUACCAAAUCAUUCUGGUUGCAUCUAAUUGGUUUUAGGA